AUUGAACGCUGGCGGCAGGCUUAACACAUGCAAGUCGAGCGGGGAAAGGUAGCUUGCUACCUGACCUAGCGGCGGACGGGUGAGUAAUGCUUGGGAAUCUGCCUAUUAGUGGGGGACAACAUUCCGAAAGGAAUGCUAAUACCGCAUACGCCCUACGGGGGAAAGCAGGGGAUCUUCGGACCUUGCGCUAAUAGAUGAGCCUAAGUCAGAUUAGCUAGUUGGUGGGGUAAAGGCCUACCAAGGCGACGAUCUGUAGCGGGUCUGAGAGGAUGAUCCGCCACACUGGGACUGAGACACGGCCCAGACUCCUGCGGGAGGCAGCAGUGGGGAAUAUUGGACAAUGGGCGAAAGCCUGAUCCAGCCAUGCCGCGUGUGUGAAGAAGGCCUUUUGGUUGUAAAGCACUUUAAGCGAGGAGGAGGCUACUUGGAUUAAUACUCUAGGAUAGUGGACGUUACUCGCAGAAUAAGCACCGGCUAACUCUGUGCCAGCCGCCGCGGUAA
rnacentral:rRNA from 1 species